rfam:Schistosoma haematobium scaffold40_2, whole genome shotgun sequence.
GUCAGGCUGACGAGUCACGAAUAGGACGAAACGCGCGUCCUGGAU